AUCCUUGAAAAAUUUUGAUUUCGAUCCGGUACCCAAACAAAAUAACGGUUUUCAGUUCUUAUCGGCGUCGCUGUAUGCGACAUGUGUAGUGAAACUGGCAGCAAUGAAAAAUCUGGAUUUUUCCUUCCUGUUCAGUUUUUUUUGUACAUGUGAAGUUUUAGGUGAGAAGAUUUUCAAGUUUGUUCCUUUUCUUACUUGUACUGAAGCUUGGAAAUGUAGGAGUCGGUUUUACUUACCCCUCCUAAUUUUGGAUAUCUAUACGAAUAUAAAAAUUGCACACCGUGCACUGUUUGGACCAGUAAAGUAUUUUGGGGAAGAACUUUUUGGAAAAUCUGUUACAUUAUUUAUUCGCCUGCAAUCAAAUAUAUGCAAGCACAUUAAAUUAGAAAAUGUUUUAAUUUGGUUUCUUUUGAACAUUUUAGGUGGAUCAUUUAAUGGAAAUUUCCUAACCAAAUAUUUCGAUGAAGGAUCACCACUAAUCACGGAACAAGUUGGGCACUCUUUUGAAAACAAGUGUUUUUUAUAUCCACGUUACACAGCCUUGGAAUCUGAAUUCAACGACACUGAAGAAAAUGUUUAUGUUAAAUCAGAAAACAUCUCCGAGACAACUUUUCUCCUUUACGAAUUACAAUUUCCAGCCUUUCCGAAUUACAAGAUCAACAUUUUUAACUCCACGAUGACGAUUAAAAAAUGUGACAAAGAUGACUCUUGUAAACUGUUACGAGAGUGCACUGACGCAUUUAUUGAAAGCGACGCCAACCACCCACCAUUAUCUGACGAUAUUGUGUAUCUUUCUUGGAAAAAAAAACUUUCGGGGUUAUUUCUUCUGGUUCAAUAUAAAGAAAAAAUAAAAAGAUGUAGUGACUUCAAUAAGCCUUUGAACAUCCACAGAGUAGUUUUGCAAAGCAAUAAGAAACUACAAUUUGCUUAUACAAAACAUAGCGUGAUGACGGCAACUGGCGAAAACCAAGAAAUACUUCCAGUAAAUGUUAGCUUGGGACCAGAUGAAUCAGUAUAUGUACGAAUUUCGCAAUGUUCUAUUUGUUCAAUGACAUUGCGGUUAAAAUGUGGUCUUGAUGAUAUCGACAAUAAAAUAGCACGAUCUGAUAAUGGACCUCGUUUGUUGUUUGCAAAUAGCUUUUUUAUCUACGGAUGGCAGGAAAUUGAAAUGUCACCGAAGAAACGAAAUCAAAGAAACAACUGUAAGUUACAAAUGUUUGGAAGUUAUAAUAACACCGAGUUGUUACCAUCUGAAGUUACUAAAUUCUGGAGAGCAACAUAUCGUUUAGCCAAAGGAACUUCGCCACCACCACCACCAACAACAACAACAACACUAACAACAACAACAGCUGAAUCAACUCAAACCAGAAAAAGUUCAACAGUCACAUUAGUGACAGACGCUUUUCUGUUGCCGUCAGACACGACCACAUCAAGAAAUACAUGUAUUACAAAAGAAAGCUCAUGUUGGAUCAGCAUUACGUUAGCAUGCAUUUUUGGCUUCGUGGCUUUAAUUUUAUCUAUUGCUACUGGCGUUCUCCUCAAAAAAUAAUUCGUGGACUUCAGCCUAAGGUCUCGAGGUUAGAAAAAGAAAGAAAUUAAUAAAAAAGUAGUUUUUGCUUAAAAUGUUUAAUCUGUGAGUUACAAAAUAACGUAAAAUGUAUUCGUUUUCAGUACCUUUUCAAAUGAAUGUAUAAAUCGGAAAACAAACAUAAAAACUCUUGAGUGCCGGAGUUAGGAAAAGUAAUUUUUUUAUUAUAGGCGUGGGAUUUUUAUCGAUGCGAAGUCUAGACUAGAAUGGAAAAAUGAUUAUGUUCUUUUUAUUUUUUAUCUUAGUUGAGAAAAAUUAAAUUUUACUUGCUUACUAGUUAUUAGUUAUUCGUUGUAGGUAUACCGCAUUUUUUUAACUUACAAAUAGUUAACAAACAAUGUUCAAACACAUACUACAGCAAAAACAACACGGCUGUUGGAAAAUAUACAGGGUCUCUCAAAAUUGGCGGAUUCCGAACUCAGAGCAUUGUAGAGAAUUACUUCAGUAUUCAAAUAUAGAAAAAAAACGAAAGAUAAGAAAACUUAAUUCAAACAGUGACCUUCGAACCAAUGUAUCAUUUUUUUUUCCAAAUUUUUUUUUCCUACAUUUGGAGUUUUAAAGUGAUUGUGUACAAUGCUCUGAACUCGGAAUUCGCCAAUUUUGAGACACCCUGUAUAGACACGUAGUUGAUCGAUCAAAAAAAUUAUAUGUUAAACAUGCUUUUGAAGUUAAAUAAAUAUAGAGUUAGAUAAAGAUGCACCCAUUUAGAAUUUCUGUGGUAUGUGUGUUUAGUAUAAAGGCUUAAAUAAGUGUGAUAUCGCUGAUGUGUUUUGUUUGGAAGAUUGGUAUUUAGAUUAUGCAGUCAUUAAUUAUUAUUCAAAUCAAAGAUGUUUAUUUAAUUUUUGACCAAUAUUUUUCACGUUUUUUAUGUUUUUUCAAUUUAAUGUAAAAUGUGUUCUUCAACAUCUGCGUUAUAAAUAAUAAAUAAUUGCAGCAACAAAUGCUGAAAAAUUAUGAACCGUUACCAAACACAAUAAAUACAAACUUCACAGAAGACUGUUUGACAAUAUUGAACAUGUAAUGGUCUUCAAGAUUUUAAUACGUAAUCUUUUGAAUUGGUUUGAGGCAGGAAAUAGUUACGGAGGUAGAUACAAAAAAAGCGAAAUUAUGGCAUUAAAAUUAAUGUUUAAUUUUUAUCAAAACAACUAAUUUGGCAAAAAAAUGAUUUACCUACUAUUUUACGAAAACAGAGUUUUGCAUACCUAUUGCUAUCAGUUCGUCAAAAAAUGCGUAAUCUAACUAUGUUCCUGCAUCAACCAACAAUUGCGGUAUCACCUUAUAAUAAACAACCAUUAGAUUAGAAAUAGGAUGGAGUUUAUCUGCGCCUAUAACGCACUUCUAAUUAUUUUGACAGUUGUUUAAGAAUGUAAGUAAUUUUGAUUUUUAUGAAAAAAUGUUAAUGAUACGAACAAAUAGUCGCAGAUAAAACUUUGUCUUAUGUACUUGCACAUGUUUGUUCUUUUACGCAUAUUUGCUUUGCUUGUUAGGUGCUUGAUAGUUCAUGAUUUACUGGGGAAAAUGGUACAAAUUCUGGAAAGUCUGGACUUUUCAUGAAACGCUGUAGACAUUUCAUGAAAUAAUUUCGCCAAGUGGCUGCGACAUAUAUAUCAAAUAAUUUGUGUUUAUUUUAAAUAACUACUAUAUUAGAGAAAUUAAAAUUUGCAUUUGAAGAUGUAAGCUGAUACCACAUUUCUCCACUAGCUAAAUCUGUAGGUAGUAAAAAUAUGAUCACAUGCAUUCGAUGUGAUUUGGGCAUGACAUUCAUUUACGUCAAAUUAAUUAGGAUUUUAUCUAAAUUUUUACUAAAGAUGUGGAAUUUAUUAAAAUUAUAUUUUUUAGUAAAAAAUAGCUUUUUGGCAUUUUUUUACAGUUGUCUACCCAAAUCAAAUUUAAACAAGUUUGCAUGCCCUUACAUAUUUAAUAUUAUAUUAUUAUAUAAACAUUAUUUGCAUCAA